rnacentral:rRNA from 1 species
CAAUAGCGUAUAUUAAAGUUGUUGCGGUUAAAAAGCUCGUAGUUGGAGUUCUGCCAGGUGCCGCCUGUCCGCCCCAGUGGUGAGUACGUGGCGCGCAUUUGGCCCUUUCAAGGGGAGCGUAUCUGCACUUUAUUGUGUGGUGCGGGAUCCUUGACUUUUACUUUGAGGAAAUAGGAGUGUUCCAAGCAGGCUCUCGUCGUGCACAGCUCAGCAUGGAAUAAUAGCAUUGGACCUCGAUUCUAAGCUGUUGGUUGCCAGAAGCGAGGUAAUGAUGAAGAGGGAUAGUUGGGGGCAUUCGUAUUUAACUGUCAGAGGUGAAAUUCUUGGAUUUGUUAAAGACGGACUACUGCAAAAGCAUCUGCCAUGGAUGUUUUCAUUGA